CUUUGGUGGCGACCGGCGCACGGGUGCGUAACGCGUAUGUAACCUACCUAUAACAGGGGCAUAACACUGAGAAAUUGGUACUAAUUCCCCAUAAUAUUCGGAGAGGCAUCUCUCCGGGUUGAAAACUCCGGUGGUUAUAGAUGGACAUGCGUUGUAUUAGCUAGUUGGUGAGGUAACGGCUCACCAAGGCAACGAUACGUAGGGGGACUGAGAGGUUAACCCCCCACACUGGUACUGAGACACGGACCAGACUCCUACGGGAGGCAGCAUG
rnacentral:rRNA from 1 species